CAUUGGUCUACCUGAUGAGCCCCAAAAAGGGCGAAACCGGUC
rnacentral:hammerhead_ribozyme from 11 species